rnacentral:lncRNA from 1 species
GGUCCACAUUCAUCCAUCUCACGAUCUAAUGAUUGCUGUUCGUCAUCAAUUUAUAAGAGAACUUUUGCGUUGAUCGACGGUUGAAAUUUCAUCCAUCAAAUGAUCGGACGGCUGAGGAUGUUCUUAACUGAGAAUAAGAGUUAUUCUAUAUGAUCUGAUGGUCCAGAACCAAUUCUAGGUGUGAUCGGAUGGCUACGAUUUGAUCCAACUUUGAUAAGGAUUAAAACAUUGAUUUUUGAUCAAAUCUG